CUACGGGUUGCUGCAGUGGGGAAUAUUGCACAAUGAGCGAAAGCUUGAUGCAGCCAUACCGCGUGUGUGAAGAAGGCCCGAGGGUUGUAAAGCACUUUCAAUUGUGAGGAAGAUAGUAUAGUUAAUACCUGUAUUGUUUGACGUUAACUUUAGAAGAAGCACCGGCUAACUCUGUGCCAGCAGCCGCGGUAAUACAGAGGGUGCAAGCGUUAUUCGGAAUUACUGGGCGUAAAGCGCGCGUAGGCGGACGAUUAAGUCAGUUGUGAAAGCCCUGGCUCAACCUGGGAACUGCAUCUGAUACUGGUAGGCUAGAGUUUAAGAGAGGGAAGUGGAAUUCCAGGUGUAGCAGUGAAAUGCGUAGAUAUCUGGAGGAACAUCAGUGGCGAAGGCGACUUCCUGGCUUAAAACUGACGCUGAGGUGCGAAAGCGUGGGUAGCGAACGGGAUUAGAUACCCCAGUAGUC
rnacentral:rRNA from 1 species